GAGGAUUUAGCUCAGUGGUAGAGCGCUUGCCUAGCAAGCAUGAGGCCCUGGGUUCGGUCCUUAGCUCU
rnacentral:tRNA from 1 species